AUUGAACGCUGGCGGCAUGCUUUACACAUGCAAGUCGAACGGCAGCGCGGGCUUCGGCCUGGCGGCGAGUGGCGAACGGGUGAGUAAUACAUCGGAACGUGCCCAGUAGUGGGGGAUAGCUCGGCGAAAGCCGGAUUAAUACCGCAUACGACCUGAGGGUGAAAGCGGGGGUUCUUCGGACCUCCCCCUAUUGGACCGCCCGAUGGCAGAUUAGCUAGUUGGUGGGGUAAAGGCCUACCAAGGCGACGAUCUGUAGCUGGUCUGAGAGGACGACCAGCCACACUGGGACUGAGACACGGCCCAGACUCCUACGGGAGGCAGCAGUGGGGAAUUUUGGACAAUGGGCGAAAGCCUGAUCCAGCAAUGCCGCGUGUGUGAUGAAGGCCUUCGGGUUGUAAAGCACUUUUGGCGGGAACGAAAAGGACUGUGCCAAUACCACGGUUCGAUGACGGUACCCGCAGAAUAAGCACCGGCUAACUACGUG
rnacentral:rRNA from 1 species